UUCUCCUGCCUCAGCCUCCUGAGUAGCUGGGAUUGCAGGCAGCUCCUCCAAUUCCAGAGAGUACUGAAUAUUAGGCCAUAAUUGGAUUCUACAAUAAUUUUGGAGGAAAGAAGAGCUCAGGGAAGAGUCUAUAACUCAUGCCAACUUGGAAAAUGGAUGAAAUGGAUGGAAAGAAAAUUGAUUAUAACUUUAAAAGGACACUAAUAUUAUGGAAGAUGUUUAAAGGGCAAUCGCCUCUACAGAUUACAAAGCAAUUUAGGAAACGGAUCCACAAAUAUUUUAGAAAUACAUUUUUUCUUUAAGAAGAAAUGAUUAACUAUGCCUCGCUCCCCCUCUGGCUGUCAGUCACUUAACUGAGUUGUCUCAAUAUUUUAUUUAAAUGUGAUCCACAUUUGUCAGACUUGAGUGUUUCAAGAAUUGUGUUGCAGAGUCUCUUGAGAGAGAAGCCCAUUCUAAACGGUCCCACUAAUGUAAUAUUUAUGCUAAUGCAAAUGCUAUAAAGACAGUUGGAACAUCCCUUUGGACACUGCGUGAAUGAGUAUCAGCAUAGUUGUAUCUGACAAUGAUUUUUGUAAACUGAGAAACUUUGUGAGACCUAGGUAGGGCUGAAGGAAUGAGAUGCAUAGAUUUACACUCUGACAUGAUGUGGGGUUAUCCCCCAAAACAUAUAUAAACACGCACAAUUAUGCACAUUUGCAUAUAGCCUUACAUACUUACAUCCACAAAGAUAUAUACCAUUCAUGUAUAUACACACACAAGCACAUAUACAUGUAAAACACGAACAUACACAUGUAUAUAUAUCCACAUUUAUAUACAUCCACAUACAUACCCACAAACAUGCACAUGCACACACUCAUAUAAGCAUAUAUAGUCAUGCAUUGCUUAACAAAGUGGGUCUGCCUAAGAAAUGCAUCAUUAGGUGAUUGUGUCCUUGUGCGAACGUCAUAGUGUACUCACACAAACCUGGCUGCCUACACACUUAGGCUGUCUGAUAUCGCCUAUUGCUCCUAAACGGUAAACUUGUUCAGCAUGUUGCUGUAUUGAAAAUUGUAGGCAACUGUAAUACAAUAGCAAGUAUUUGUAUAUCAAAACAAUAUAAACAUAGAAAAGCACAGUAAAAAUAUAGUCUAAAAAAUAAAAAAUGGUCCACCUGUAUAGGACACUCACCAUGAAUGGAGCUAGCAGAGCUGGAAGUUGCUCUGGGUGAGUCAGUGAGUGCGGAGUGAAUGUGAAGGCCUAGGACAUUACUGUAUACUCAAGUAGACGUUAUAAAUACUGUACACUUAGACCACACUAAGUUUAUUAAAAGUUUUCUUUCUUUAAUAAUUAUCCUUAGCCUACUAUAACAUUUUUACUAUCUAAACUUAAAUUUAAAAAAAAACCAUUUUUACUCUUUUGUAAUAAUUCUUUGCAUAAGACACAAACAAAUUGUAUAGCUGGACAAAAAUAUUUUCUUUCUAUCCCUAUUCUAUGAGCUUUUUUCUAUUUUAAAAUGUUUAAUUUUUUAAACUUUUGGAUUGUUUCGUUAAAAAAAAAAACCAAACCAAGAUGCAAACACAUACAUUAGCUGAGGCCCCCACAGGGUCAGGAUCACCCAUAUCACUGUCUUCCACCUCUACUUCUUGUCCCACUGGAAGGUCUUCAGGGACAGGAACACGCAUGGAACUGUCAUCUGUGAUAACGAUGCCUUCUUCUGGAGUCCCUCCGGCGGGACCUGCGUAAGGCUCUCCUUGAGGAGAUGUCCCCCUUUUCAGAAACACAAUCACGACGGUUUGCCCGGUUUGUUUCCUCUACUCAUCACAGAUUUGCGUCAGCAACGGGUUGGUCACUAGGCAAUAGGAAUUUUUCAGCUGCACUGUAACCUAAGGGACCACUGGUGUCUAUGUGGUCCAGUGUUGACCCAGACGUCACUAUGCAGCACUUGACUGACUGCACACACGUAAAGCAUGAACACACACACCGCGUUGCCUAGUUUGACCUGGUGCCUGUUAUUUUUUUGUAUCUGUAGACAGCAGCACUUUAAGAUCUAUGUUUACAUCAGUACUCAGGCUGUUCCUGGUGACUCCUGAUGACGCAAGCAUCCAAACUUCACCCUGGAAUGUGCAGCUGAUGGUGAGGAUGGGCACCUCAGGGGUUGCAGUGACAGCAGUGGUUGCAGCCUACGGAGUGCUGACAGAGUGCCAGUCCUGGCCCUGAGCACCAUGCAUGUGAUUUACUCAUUACAGCGGAACCAUGAAGCAGACGUGGCUAUUUCACCAUCUCAUGGUUAAGGACAUGCAGUCUGCAGAGUCUCAAUAGCUUGCCCUGUGUCACACGUGGAGAGUGGACAUUGGCUCCAAACCCCCAAUCCACUUAUCCAGGCCACCGUAGCACCCUGACCCCUUAGAAUCUGGGGCUUUCUGCUGAAAGCCCAUAAACAGAUCUCAGUUCCCGUGGGGCCUGAGCCACAGGUACAAGGGCCCCUGGUUCUAUCACUUACUUUUGGUAAAUUCUCCACUUUAAACAAGAGCUACCUGGUCUGUACCUGGGAGACCACAGUUUUAUUUGAGGAAAAUAUUACCUGAAAUUGGGGCAAGGUUGCUCAACGGAAUAAAGGGUGCCCACUUUGUGUGUG